rnacentral:rRNA from 1 species
AGAGCGAACGCUGGCGGCAGGCUUAACACAUGCAAGUCGAGCGGAUGUAGCAAUACAUCAGCAGCAGACGGGUGAGUAACACGUGGGAACGUACCUUUUGGUUCGGAACAACACAGGGAAACUUGUGCUAAUACCGGAUAAGCCCUUACGGGGAAAGAUUUAUCGCCGAAAGAUCGGCCCGCGUCUGAUUAGCUAGUUGGUGAGGUAAUGGCUCACCAAGGCGACGAUCAGUAGCUGGUCUGAGAGGAUGAUCAGCCACAUUGGGACUGAGACACGGCCCAAACUCCUACGGGAGGCAGCAGUGGGGAAUAUUGGACAAUGGGCGCAAGCCUGAUCCAGCCAUGCCGCGUGAGUGAUGAAGGCCCUAGGGUUGUAAAGCUCUUUUGUGCGGGAAGAUAAUGACGGUACCGCAAGAAUAAGCCCCGGCUAACUUCGUGCCAGCAGCCGC